GAGGGGAAAAAAGGAAAAUUGGCCGGGUUUCACAUGGAGCGGGGCACGAGGGUUCACUUUGCCCUUUAAGGGUUUCUCCAGGGACUGUUCAGCACCAGAGGCUCCCACUCGCUCCCAGCCUGGCCGUGGGAUGCUGAGGGUUCCCAGCGGCACCAGGAGCCGGGACCCCUCACCCCUCACCCCCCAUCGCUGGACCCCUCAUCCCGGGGGGAGGCAGUGACAGCCCCCCCGGCCCCCUCUAAUCCACGGGCCUCAGGCCUAAGGAAAGAACCCGCGGGGACCCCCAAGUUCACUGAACACAAAAGCGGCCCCGACCCCCCGCGCGUGGCUCGGCUCGGGUCCGCUCGGGGGGUCCCCAACGAGGGGCGACGCCCGGGCCGCGCCCCCGCCCCUCACGGCGGCCCCGGGCCCCCGGCGCGGUGCCCCCGCUCGGCCCCGCCAGGGCUUUCCCGCGGCCGUGCCCCGCUCCGGGCGGUACCUGUAGGCCAGGGACAUGCACUCGAACAGCUUCGUGAGGGACGCGUCGAUGCUGAGGCGGCCGCCGGCGCCGCCGCCGCCGCGGGCCGCCCCGAACUGAAGCCAUCUGCAAGAAGCCAGGGCACCUGGAGAAGAAGCUGGAGACCUGCAGCAAGCACUGCUGGAGUCAGAGAGAGGGCAGGACACGGAGCUUCUUCUGCCAGGCUCGUGGCUCACACCCCACGGUACCUGCUCAGUGGCGCUUGUGAAGGAACCACAAUUGUUCCAGGGGAAGGAAAGAUCAGAUUUCAUCCUUCUUAAAAAAGCAUAAAGGAAACAAUGGAUCUUGUAGGUCAACAUGAAAGCACAGCAAUAGGGCUGGUGAGGGGAGAGAGCAGCAUCCUACAGCACAAACCUCAUACCUGUACCUAUGUGUACACAAAGACAAGAGAAGAGGCCUUGAGUGUCCUCUGUAGAGCAAACCUCCAUCACCAAGAGAGCUAUCCUACAUGCCAUACUCCAAAACAUUGAUGCUAAAUUGUGAAUAUUAUUUCAGUUCUAGGACCUCAUACUUAAAAUGUAAAAACAGGCUUGUCUACACAGCCAUGCUCAGGAGGGAAAAAAACCUCCAAACACUGAAUUGCCACGUGCUACAUUCUCUGCUUCGUAAAACCAGAAAUAAGAUCAAGGGAAACUCAAGAGAUUGAGAGCAAGUCUUGGGCAUGCAAAGAAGAGCAUUCCUGCAGUAUCCCAAUUACGCCCAUGCAAUGAUCCAGCAUUCCCCAUUAGCAUGAAUCAAGGCUGAUCACUGUGUUUAGGGGAGGAGUGGUAGGUCAAACACUCCCCCACACAUGAAAGCAGCAGGAAGGCAUGGCCACAUCAUGUGAGGGCUCUCUUAGAGAUCUUUAAAAAUCAAAACCAACAUGCAGUUCUUACUUAGCAUCACAUACGACUCAAAUUCUGAAGGCCAGUCAUAUUUAGCUUCAAAGCUGGUUCUUGCUACCUUAUAUUAACAUUUACUUAAAAAAAUAGAAAAAAAAAGCUAUCUCCCAGCAAGGCAUUCUGACUGAGAAUACUUUAAGUACAAAAAAACCCCACAAACAUUUCAAAACAACAUUCACAGUUUUACAAUAUCUAUUUUAAGUCUUCCAUGUAGUUCAAGAACUAAACCUGAACUAAAAAAAUCAUGACACCUCAGUAACAGCACUGUGUAACACUUUCAUGACAACAGCCUAUACAUUUACCUCACUUAAUUCUAAGCAAGCCACGCAGGCUUCAUCCCAUAGGAAAAGAGGGAUAACUUGUCAAAAUAAAUUUAGGUAACAAUGCAAUUUUCUAGGAAGAGUAGCAGUACCAACCAUCACUUAUGGCACAGGCAGCAGCCUUAAGGUACAACUAACAUUUCACAAAGUUCAAGGUUUUCUCCUCUAGUCAGGUGCAAGGAUAGGGGCAUCCCUUAAAAUAAAUCCAGUUAUUUUGGAAACAGAUCUCUUGGUUUGCCUUAAGAUCAGCAUUUAGCUGAUCAGUACCAGGUCAAGCCUGCCUGUUCUCCACUCCUCCUCCACAGUAAGGAAUUCCAGGAAGCACAGGGAAAUACUAAGAGGCCCCAGCAGCAUCUUUGGAAUAUGUUUUUUCUUACUGUUUCUUUUCAUCAAUCCCCAGUGAGAGGUGAAACACAGGCCUCUGUCUUCUGAUGACGUUCCUUGAUCAAGGAACAUCAGUUCCUUGAACAAGGCUUUUAGCACAGGAGGAGGACUUAGCACUGCACUGCAACACACAGUGAGCAGAGACAUUCAAGCUGUUCAAAGACAUACCCACAGUGUAUUCCACACUACUUAGUGGUGAGAGAUUAUCCUCCUAAAUCUACAGACAGGAAGAUAAGCAUUCCCAUACUGAUGAGGGAAAGAGCUCAGGGAAGCUUCCUCCCAGCCUCAGACAGGGCUGGAUGCAGGCUCUGGGCAGGCUCUGCUGGCCGUCCUGCUCCCAGGAAAACCACAGGGACAACCUGUGUGUGCCCUGCUCCAGGCUCCUGCUGCUCCUUCACCCUUCCCUGGCACAAGCCUUACCUGUUCAGAGGCCUUUCCUUCUGGGACCCAUCUUGAGUUACAUCCUUGCUGCAACCUGUAUUCUCUCUCUCCAGUUCCACCCUGUAUGUAACUCCUUUAUAUACGUCUGUUAGUUCAAUUCACUGAUCUGGAGAAGGAAAAAAACCAACUACAUUGCAGUUUCUUCCCAGAUUAGUGAACUGUAGGGGUUAAUGGGGAUGUUAUGAGCACCCCAGCAAAUGCAAGGCAGGGAACAAACCCAACUGGGAGCAGGCAGGCUGGGCUCGCCCCUCUGGGAGCAAUGAGCCAGCAGGGCAGUCCAGCUGCCUGUGGAACCACAGGCCACUUUGGGACAGAGCACAUAGAACACUAAAAAUAAGCUGGACACUUUAUAUCCACCUUGAAUGUAAAGAAUCUUUCCAAAACUCCUCAGGAGUUUUACCCUUGCAAGCAUCGGACUCGAGCUUGUAUCCAAACUGAAGCACAUUUCCACACUCUGCCCUCCCUCCUCCCUCCAAUUUAAGUUACUGCAACACAUAACCUGAGUAAAAAAUGAGGAAUUUGGUACUUAAAUUACCACGUUAUUCUGCAGGUUGCUGUAAUUACAUGGGCCAUAUCUGUUCUGUUUGUUGUUCUUACAACCGCCGCCUGCCCCACCACACUGUCAAGACACCUUUGGACUGCUCAAAGGUGAAUCAUUUUACACAUUACCAAACAAGACAGCACCACAAAUGAACAUUUAAAAAUGCCAUUUAUAAAAAACAGAAAUUUAUUGUAAAUUAAAAAAAAAAACCAAACCAAAACAAACUGAGGUUAAGUUUCUUGAUAAAAAUUAUUCACACAGCAUUCGUGUUGUGAUUUUUUAUUUUAUUUUUUUUGAAAUGAAACCAUUGUACAUUGUACAAACCAUAACUACCGAUGGAAUAAAUAAGUGAAAAAUUAUACUGCUGUACAACACACACACACACAAAUCAUAAGAUGGAAAACGAUUAGGUAUUGAAGAAAACAAAAUUCUUUACACCUUCUAACAGGCCCUUAGAUAUAAAGAACAUUCCAAAACAUGACAAUGUUUAUGUAUGAAGAUAGCCACCCAAAACCGAUAUUUUAUACUGCCUUGUUGAUUUAUUUUUUUUUUUUGUUGUUUUGUAAGUGCCAGCACUUUUUGGAAUGUUUUAACAACUACUUUCCCAAGCAUAAAAAUUCCAAGGAAUAGUUCUGCUAUAAAAUGUUUGGCUGAGUAAAUCGCUUAUCUGGAAGGCCUUCCCACGUGUUCCACAAACUCAGCUAAGUUACUUGCUUGCUUCUAGUUUCUUUAUUUUUUUCCUUUUUUUUUUUUUUUUUCUUUUUUAGUUUUUUAUUUAUUUAUCUGUAACUGAAGCUCCAACAUUCAGCAUUGUAGCAAGGAAGCACUUCUUGAUAUUUGCACUAUUUCUAAAACAUCAGCUGUAUGAGAACUUUCAGUCAUCUUGAAGAAAAUUACAUCUCUCCUCCUGCUCCACCUCUCAAUGCUUUCAAUAAACCCUUUUACAGUGAGUUCAUAAAACAAGUUUCGGGUAGAGAUAGGUCCAAGCCAAAACCAGCUGGAUUUAGAUCUCGUUUCAAACCUCAGGUGGAUUUGAAUUCCAUAUUCUGGUUUGGUCCCAUCUGUACUUUCUGGCAUUAAAAUGUGUUUAAUCACAUCCGUUGGCCCAUAAAUGUUAUCAGGCACUUCAAAAAAAGACUAAUAACAGUCUUAUACACUAUUUUGGAUUUCUUCAUACCAGAUAAUGUCAAAGUCUCUUCCCUUAGAGACUGACAAUAACAGGUCUAAGGAACCCAAAUCUAUCUGCUUGUUCAGUUGUCUGUUGUCACUAGAAUCUCUGGUUAAAAUAAAAGAUCUGAAUGUAUUCUCUGUAAGCUGUAAAUAAAGGAUUCCUACCUCAGAAAUAAAGCCUCUAGGGAAGAUGGUUAUGAUGCCUUGUCUUGUAAGCCACAGAACAAUGAACAGUUCUGAGCAGAAGCCACAGGAGAGAAAAGGAAGUUUAUAAUUAAACCUGUUGAUGUCAAUAAUGCCAAUAAAUGCUUCUAUCUAAUGAAAAA